ensembl:lncRNA
AUGGAUGAGGAUUUCAAUGUUGAAUAUUUUAAUCAAGUACCGAUUGUUUUACAAAUAGCUGUUGAUCAAUUAAGUGAUGAGGAUUUCAAUGUUGAAUAUUUUAAUCAAGUACCGAAUGCUUUACAAAUAGCUGUUGAUCAAUUAAGUGAAAUUCCAAUCUCCAUUCCAAUAAAUUUACAUUUUACAGAGCAAAAUGAAAACGUCCUAGAACUUGACACCUUACAACUCAUAAAUGAUGCCCUCGAAAACCUUAAUGCAGUUAAUGCAGUAGAGUUUGAAAAUCAUUCUCCUUCAUCAGCUCUCCACACGCAAAGUGAUCAUGUCUUACACGCGGUAACAAUCAGAUCAGAGACGGAUUCAGCCGAGACACAAUCGGCUCUUCCUAACCCCCCUCCUGAACCUUCAUCAGCUCUCCACACGCAAAGUGAUCAUGUCUUACACGCGGUAACAAUCAGAUCAGAGACGGAUUCAGCCGAGACACAAUCGGCUCUUCCUAACCCCCCUCCCGAACAGGAUGAGAGGCCAGGAGAAGGGGGGUCAGAGAGCAGCCCCUCAGCCCAUCUUUCUCCUCAGCAAGGGGGAGGAGGGCUAGGAGAAAAUCCAUCCGAUCUCUCUCCUGAGCGGGGUGAGAGGUUUUUUAAUGAUUUUAACACAUGGAGAACAAGACGCUCCUUUAACAUUCCCACUCGGGGAAAUGUGCCUGACAUUGCAACAUUCUAUCGAGAUGUAACAGGGGUUAUCAGCGAAUUGGUGGAUGUUGCCAGACGACAUAGUAGUCGCAAUGAUUUAAUACAGUUGGAGGUGGUGGGUGAAAACGUACACAAUCAUGUUACAGUUGCUGUGGAUGAACAAGGUGAAAAUAUUCUACCGGCUUUUAAUGGAAUGCUAGAUCGGAUUGUGCAGUCAAACGGUAUCAUUUCAUCGGAUGAGAAUAUAGAAUUCAUCCUUCACGUGGUGCAGAACCCAGGAGGAGGUGCCAAACGUAAGAUGGAGAAAACUCUAGACUGUGAAAUCAUUGACAAAAAAAGACGUCACUUAUUUAUCGUAGACAACAGAGACAACCAGCUUUGCUUCGCCAUCAGUCUAGCUCACGUUAUCUACCCGAAACUUACUGAAAGAGAAUGCCUUGAUAUUGCGAGGAAGUUGCAGCAUCAGGCUGGUUUAAAUGAUGAGACCCCCGUCACUUUCAGUGACAUUGGUAAAUUUGAAAAUAUUCUGGGGCGUAAAAUUGUUGUGUUUUACAGAACAUGCCACAGUAAACCCCUCUCACAUUAUGAGACAAAAUUCUCUGAUCGUUCCAAUCAGUUGUUUCUCUUUUUACUACAAAAUCACUAUUAUGGGAUAAUUAUUGUUACAAGACUUUUAAGCACCCCUAUACCCACUUUUGUAAAGGUUACUGCGCAGUGUGCAACGAUCCUGCCUGCCCCACAGAAGGGUUCAACACAGUGGUUUGCUCUGACUGUAACAGAACGUGUCGCUCACCCUCUUGUUUCACCAGACACAAAUUGGUCGGUUCAAGCAGAAAGUCCAGCCUCUGCGACCAAAUCAAAAAAUGCGCACGAUGCGAACUAUACUACAGUGUCAAUUUGUCGUUAGACGAUGCAAAGCAUCGCUGUGCGGUGAAAAAAUGUAAAAUCUGUGGUGAAAAACUGCAGAGCGACUCUAAAGUCGAUCAUAGUUGUUACAUUCCUACCCUCCAACCAGACAUCUCACAUCCUGAUUUGGUUUUUUAUGAUUUUGAAACAUUUGUGGGUCAAAAUGGAGAGCAUGUUCCUUUUUUAGUGCAUACAAAAACAUCCAAAGGUGAAGAGAAGGCGUUUU